GAUGAACGCUGGCGGCGUGCCUAAUACAUGCAAGUCGAGCGAACAGACGAGGAGCUUGCUCCUCUGACGUUAGCGGCGGACGGGUGAGUAACACGUGGAUAACCUACCUAUAAGACUGGGAUAACUUCGUGAAACCGGAGCUAAUACCGGAUAAUAUAUUGAACCGCAUGGUUCAAUAGUGAAAGACGGUUUUGCUGUCACUUAUAGAUGGAUUCGCGCCGCAUUAGCUAGUUGGUAAGGUAACGGCUUACCAAGGCAACGAUGCGUAGCCGACCUGAAAGGGUGAUCGGCCACACUGGAACUGAGACCCGGUCAAGACUCCUACGGGAGGCAGCAGUAGGGAAUCUUCCGCAAUGGGCGAAAGCCUGACGGAGCAACGCCGCGUGAGUGAUGAAGGUCUUCGGAUCGUAAAACUCUGUUAUUAGGGAAGAACAAAUGUGUAAGUAACUAUGCACGUCUUGACGGUACCUAAUCAGAAAGCCACGGCUAACUACGUG
rnacentral:rRNA from 1 species